UACAGAGGUCCCGAGCGUUGUUCGGAUUCACUGGGCGUAAAGGGUGCGUAGGUGGUGAGGUAAGUCGGAUGUGAAAUCUCCGGGCUUAACUCGGAACGGUCAACUGAUACUGCGCGGCUAGAGUGCAGAAGGGGCAACUGGAAUUCUCGGUGUAGCGGUGAAAUGCGUAGAUAUCGAGAGGAACACCUGCGGCGAAGGCGGGUUGCUGGGCUGACACUGACGCUGAUGCGCGAAAGCCAGGGGAGCGAACGGG
rnacentral:rRNA from 1 species